rnacentral:ncRNA from 61 species
UACCUGGUUGAUCCUGCCA